CAUCUAACUUUCUCUCUGUAUAUCUCUCCAUUUUCAUCUAACCUGUCAGUCUGUUUUAUUGUAGAUGGUUUUCCUGAAUAUUGGUUGAUUAUCUUCACUGUUAUAUGGGAAGCACAUUGUUAUGGUUGCUUGUUCUUUGAGCAAAUUUCUAAAUAGAAGAUUAAAGUUUUUACAGUGUUCUCUUUGCUGCUGAGAUCUCUUUUUGUUCACUGGGAGGGAGAGAGGUCCCUUUGUUCUUGUUCCCUGGUGUUCCAUUUUUCUACGCUUAAAAAUCACAUGGUGGCCGAUUUACUUGUGCGGUCUGGGAGCCAUUGUUCCUUUUCUGUCAUGUUCUUUCUAAUAGGGAAGAGAUGAAGGUGGCGACUCUUCUUUCUCUCCUUGAGGGUUUCUCUUUUAGAAGUUGGAGAAGGGAUGUGAGGAUCUGGAGCCUGGCUCCUUAGAAGAGUUCUCAUGUAACCCUUUCUUUUGAUUUUUGGUUGACCCUUCUUUGGAUCUAUUGGUCUUUUUGGUAAUUUGGAAGAUUUAGAUUCCUAGGAAAGUGGGGUUCUGUACCUGACAAGUUUUACACAGUCGUGGGUAGUUUUUGCUGUGUACUUUGUCGGAAGGCAACGGUAGACCAGGACCAUACCUUUGGUGUUGUGAUUUUGCCAAUUUUGUUUGUGAUUCUUUCUCUCAAUCAUUUGGCUUUGUGGUUGCCCGACGAGAUGUUUGUGCUUUGAUCGAGGAGUCUCUUCUCAACCCGUCCUGUGGGGAGAAGGGCCACAUUCUGUGUUUUGUUGGGGUCUGCUAUUUUAUGGGUCCGUUUAUAUGUUUCUUUUGUAGGCUUCAAUUUCAAAGGCUUUUUGUAAUCUCUUUAGGUGCUAUUUUUCCUAGUUGGAGCCCCUUCUUGUAGAGGGUGCUCCUGUUCUUUCAUUUUUUUACUCAACUAAAGGGGUUUUAAAAAUCUCACUUUUUUUUUGUCUAUUGUGCUUUUAGUGUUUUGGGAAAGGUGUUAUUAUCAUUUUGGAUUGUUUUAGGCAGUUGCACAUUCAAUGAAUGUUGUAGCCCUCAAUUCUUGUCUUUGCGAGGAAGAUUAGAAUCAUAUGGGCGGUAUAGAGCGUUUGGAAUAUUUCAGAGAUUUGGAUUGAGACUUUAAAAAGGUUUGGUUGCUAUGUAGGUGUUAGGAUUCUUCCACGUGAAACUCAGAAAAUCCCAACAAAAUAGAGAAACAGAUACGGUACUCUGUUACGAUUUAUCGAAUGGAAGCCAACAAGAGUUUCUCACACAAAUAUCAAACCGAGAACAAGGAAAAAGGAAAUAACAAGCAACAACAAAGAAAUGUAAAAGAUAUAGGCUCCAGCUCCUUUGAGAAGGCUGGUUUCUUCUCCCUCAAAAGCUCACAGCAGCUUUCUCCCAAAUAAAACCUUCAUUUGGCAAUCCCAAAGCUUUCUUUAAAUCCUCACACCUCAAAUGAUGGGCCCCUUAACCGAUAUUCACCUCUCUAAUAAUACCCCUAGGUACUGACUUUUAUGCAUUGCCAAUUUACCCUUGUGUUUGUGGGUAUGGAUGAUCGGAGGACUAACAGUAGGAUAUGUUAAAUAAAUAAUACACUUCAUUGUGUAUCAGAAUAUAUAUUUUUUUGAAGAGGAAACAAGUCUCUUUUAUUAAUAAAUUUAAUAAAGAGACAAAAGCUCAUGGUACAGGAUUAUGCCAUGAGCGGAAAGAGAUGGAUCAGCAAGCGCAUCUGGACAUCUCAACUGGGUUGACAGCUACACUUCAUUGUGUAUUGGAGUAUUAUUGCUUCUUACCUUGAAAAAACUGUGUGGGAAUUUCCUGACACCAUUUAUGUUAUUGUAUUGUAUCUCAUGCGAUCCCUUUUGGUUUGGCUUUCUUUUUAGUCUAGUUGGAACCUCAUCUUCUCCCUGGUGGUGAGGUCUUUAUCUACAUUUUUCUGGCCCCAUCGAGGCAUUUUGAUAAGUUGACUCAUUAUAUAAUUUAAUGUUGCAUUUAA